UUGCCCUACGGACGCAGCAGUGAGGAAUAUUGGUCAAUGGGCGCGAGCCUGAACCAGCCAAGUAGCGUGAAGGAUGACUGCCCUACGGGUUGUAAACUUCUUUUAUCAAGGAAUCCAGUGAGGCACGUGUGCCUUUUUGUAUGUACUUUAUGAAUAAGGAUCGGCUAACUCCGUGCCAGCAGCCGCGGUAAUACGGAGGAUCCGAGCGUUAUCCGGCUUUAUUGGGUUUAAA
rnacentral:rRNA from 1 species